AGAAUACUGAUUUGAUCUUACAAGAAGAACGUAUCCCGAAUUUUUUAAUAAAACUUUUUGAGGUGUAAAGAAAAUCGCCUAAUAUAAUAUUAGAAAGUAGUAAAGGCUUUGCCAGUGGUUACUACAUUUGGAACGAACCACUAAAGAAAUACAAUCAAGAGCAUUUCGUUAAUACAAACUUAAAUAAAGAAGUACCUCAUGGCACGGAAUAAACCAUUCAUAAAACCUGCAACACUAGUAAUUUUAGCUGUACCUGCUAUUUUAGGAUGUAUUUUGGGUUAUAAGUUACUUAUACACAGGUAUAUUGCACCA